GCUUCUGUAGAGUAGCGGUUACUCGCUCCGCUAUAAUCGCUGAACUUGAGUGAUUACGGAGAGACGCGGGUUCGAAUCUCGCCGGAGGCG